UACGGGGGGAGCAAGCGUUGUUCGGAUUUACUGGCGUAAAGGGCGCGUAGGCGGCCAGCACAAGUCAGUUGUGAAAUCUCCGGGCUUAACUCGGAAAGGUCAACUGAUACUGUGCGGCUAGAGUGCGGAAGGGGCAACUGGAAUUCUCGGUGUAGCGGUGAAAUGCGUAGAUAUCGAGAGGAACACCUGCGGCGAAGGCGGGUUGCUGGGCCGACACUGACGCUGAUGCGCGAAAGCCAGGGGAGCGAACGGG
rnacentral:rRNA from 1 species